rnacentral:rRNA from 1 species
AACGAACGCUGGCGGCAGGCUUAACACAUGCAAGUCGAGCGCCCCGCAAGGGGAGCGGCAGACGGGUGAGUAACGCGUGGGAAUCUACCGUGCCCUACGGAAUAGCUCCGGGAAACUGGAAUUAAUACCGUAUACGCCCUACGGGGGAAAGAUUUAUCGGGGUAUGAUGAGCCCGCGUUGGAUUAGCUAGUUGGUGGGGUAAAGGCCUACCAAGCGACGAUCCAUAGCUGGUCUGAGAGGAUGAUCAGCCACAUUGGGACUGAGACACGGCCCAAACUCCUACGGGGAGGCAGCAGUGGGGAAUAUUGGACAAUGGGCGCAAGCCUGAUCCAGCCAUGCCGCGUGAGUGAUGAAGGUCUUAGGAUUGUAAAGCUCUUUCACCGGUGAAGAUAAUGACGGUAACC